AAAAUUAUCAACUUUUUUGGGUACUAGCGUCUUGCAUUCAUCUUCAAUAAUUAUCAAACUGAGUAGUUUUUAGUUAUCAACUCAUACAAUAAGAAUUUAAUAGAAUUGAUAUGGUUUUGUAGUACUUAUAUAUAUUUUUUUUUCAAAUUAUUAUAAUAGUUUUUAAAAAAAUCAAUGCCCUAAAAAUUUGGUUUGUUAAGCGGUCUUUUUUUUUUUUUUUUUGUAAACCACUGUCAUAAAACAGAAACAGAGUCUCAAACCUCAAAACCAGACAAGAGAAGACCCGCUUUUGCUAUUGCAUUAGUUAAAAAAUGGUUUGUUAAGCGGUUAAAAGUUGUAAUUUUGAUCAAAUUGGCUUUUUUUUUUUGUCAACAUCGGCUACAUUAUUUAUCGGCCAACAAUUAUUCAUCACUUUCUUUGGUCUAACGACGACCUGUUGAUUUUAAGGAUUGCUUAAUAUAUUUAUAAAUACUAAUUUCUUAUUCUAAUGAAAAUACUAAAUGACAAUGAAAACAUUCAAAUGAACAGAGUGAAC
rnacentral:lncRNA from 1 species